UUCAAUCAAUAAAUCAAUCACCAAUCAAAGUAACAUUUAUUUUCUUCGAAAUGAGAAAAAAACAAAAACAAAACGGUACAAUGUAAAGUAAGGUAAUUGAUUUGAAGAAGGCAUAGCCAAAAAAGCAACAGCUUGUAGCAGGCAUACCUGGACAAAAGACAAAAUCAAAUGAAUAAAUAAAUAAAUGGAAGAGUAAAUAAAAAGAAAUUUAAAAAGUAAUAAAAAUUAGAAAGUUUGAAAGUUGAAUAAGAUAAAAAAUCUUUCAGCAAUAUACUCUUUAAGUAAAUGUUUUUUUUAGCAUUGUAUUGUUUUCUUUAACUAAUUUUGCGAAUAUCGAGAGAAGCUAAUUCCAUGGUAGCCCCUUCACAACCUGUUCUUAUAUUCCCUAACGUGGUACGUAGCUUUGGUAUAGCUAAAUUAAACAUUAUUUUUAGACUUUGUAUUAUGUAAAUUUUUACACUUAGAGUGUGAGUUGUUCGGUUGUAAAAAAAUAUCGGAAAUAAAUUUAAGAACAUAAAGGAAUUUUAAGUUUGUGAAAUAGAGGGGGUAAAUGUGCUCUAAAAAACAGAAAAGUUAUACACCUAGCUAUAAUUCUUUGGAAAUUCAAGAUAGGAGUUCGAUAUGACACAAAAUUAUGUAUGUAAUGUGUAUGUAUGUGAUUACUUCCCCUUUGACCUCAAUUCCAUAAAUAAUAUUUGGAUAAAUAAAAGAACUAUAAAGCAUCACUGAAGUUUUCAUAUAAACAUAAUUCCAGCUUUUUCCUGAUUUUUUCAUUAAUAUUUUGAAAUGUGGGCUUUCCAUGUGAGAACGAAAAUACAACGAAAUAUAGGAACACUCAUGAAUAUAGGAACACUCAUAAAUAUAGGAACACUCAUACAUAUAGGAACACUCAUAAAUAUAGGAACACUCAUAAAUA